rnacentral:rRNA from 1 species
UNCUGGCUCAGAUUGAACGCUGGCGGCAGGCCUAACACAUGCAAGUCGAACGGUAACAGAGAGCAGCUUGCUGCUCUGCUGACGAGUGGCGGACGGGUGAGUAAUGUCUGGGGAUCUGCCCGAUGGAGGGGGAUAACCACUGGAAACGGUGGCUAAUACCGCAUAACGUCGCAAGACCAAAGUGGGGGACCUUCGGGCCUCACACCAUCGGAUGAACCCAGAUGGGAUUAGCUAGUAGGUGGGGUAACGGCUCACCUAGGCGACGAUCCCUAGCUGGUCUGAGAGGAUGACCAGCCACACUGGAACUGAGACACGGUCCAGACUCCUACGGGAGGCAGCAGUGGGGAAUAUUGCACAAUGGGCGCAAGCCUGAUGCAGCCAUGCCGCGUGUAUGAAGAAGGCCUUCGGGUUGUAAAGUACUUUCAGCGGGGAGGAAGGGAUGAAGCUUAAUACGCUUCGUCAUUGACGUUACCCGCAGAAGAAGCACCGGCUAACUCCGUGCCAGCAGCCGCGGUAAUACGGAGGGUGCAAGCGUUAAUCGGAAUUACUGGGCGUAAAGCGCACGCAGGCGGUCUGUCAAGUCGGAUGUGAAAUCCCCGGGCUCAACCCGGGAACUGCAUUCGAAACUGGCAGGCUAGAGUCUCGUAGAGGGGGGUAGAAUUCCAGGUGUAGCGGUGAAAUGCGUAGAGAUCUGGAGGAAUACCGGUGGCGAAGGCGGCCCCCUGGACGA